GGGAAUGAAGCUCAGUUGGUAGAAUGCCUGUCUGGCAUGCACAAAGUCCUGGGUUUGAUCCCCAGCACUGCCU
rnacentral:tRNA from 1 species